UUCCCUGAGACCUCAAGUGUGA
rnacentral:misc_RNA from 1 species